rnacentral:rRNA from 1 species
UACAGAGGUCCCAAGCGUUGUUCGGAAUUACUGGGCGUAAAGGGCGCGUAGGCGGCCCUCUAAGUCAGACGUGAAAUCCCUCGGCUCAACCGGGGAACUGCGUCUGAGACUGGAAGGCUUGAAUUCGGGAGAGGGAUGUGGAAUUCCAGGUGUAGCGGUGAAAUGCGUAGAUAUCUGGAGGAACACCGGUGGCGAAGGCGGCAUCCUGGACCGAGAUUGACGCUGAUGCGCGAAAGCCAGGGGAGCAAACGGG